rnacentral:rRNA from 1 species
CCCUGGUGGCGAGCGGCGGACGGGUGAGUAAUGCAUAGGAAUCUGCCCGGUAGUGGGGGAUAACGUGGGGAAACCCACGCUAAUACCGCAUACGUCCUACGGGAGAAAGCAGGGGAUCUUCGGACCUUGCGCUAUCGGAUGAGCCUAUGUCGGAUUAGCUAGUUGGUAAGGUAACGGCUUACCAAGGCAACGAUCCGUAGCUGGUCUGAGAGGAUGAUCAGCCACACUGGGACUGAGACACGGCCCAGACUCCUACGGGAGGCAGCAGUGGGGAAUAUUGGACAAUGGGCGAAAGCCUGAUCCAGCCAUGCCGCGUGUGUGAAGAAGGCUUUCGGGUUGUAAAGCACUUUCAGCGAGGAAGAAAGCCUCUGGGUUAAUACUUCAGAGGAAGGACAUCACUCGCAGAAGAAGCACCGGCUAACUCCGUGCCAGCAGCCGCGGUAAUACGGAGGGUGCGAGCGUUAAUCGGAAUUACUGGGCGUAAAGCGCGCGUAGGUGGCUUGGCACGCCGGUUGUGAAAGCCCCGGGCUCAACCUGGGAACGGCAUCCGGAACGGCCAGGCUAGAGUGCAGGAGAGGAAGGUAGAAUUCCCGGUGUAG